UGGUUAAGACACCACCCUUUCACGGUGGUAUCAUGGGUUCGAAUCCCGUACGGGUCA
rnacentral:tRNA from 1 species